rnacentral:lncRNA from 1 species
UUGUAGGAUGGAUGUAGCCAGCCUCCAUAUCCAGAACUGUGCCAGUCAAAUAUGCCAUUAAUCCAAGUGCAGCCAGAGGUAUUGGCUAUUGCAUAUACCUAGACUGGCCAACAGGAAGUCCAAGGGGAAGAAAUUUUAUUUUUUAAAGACUGGCACCUGUGCUAACAUCUCUUGCCAAUUUUAUUUUUUUUUCUUCUCCCCAAAGCCCCCCGGUACAUAGUUGUAUAUUCUAGUCGUGAUGCCUCUGGUUGUGCUAUGUGGGAUGCCACCUCAACAUGACCUGAUGAGCUGCGCCAUGCCCACACCUGGGAUCAAAACCAGCGAAACCCUGGGCUGCCGAAGCAGAGAGUGCGAACUUAACCCCUUGGCCAUGGGGCUGGCCCUGGAAGCAAUUUUUAUCAUCACUCGUGCUGGAGAGCUCAGAUUAGUGUGUGUGUGUCAGAUGAUACUGCUGACUUGUGGAUCACUCACUGUGAGGAAAUUCAUGGAUUCUAUGGAAAAAUAAAUCCCAAAAGAUUUGAGAAUGAGAAACAGGGUGGUGACUCCUUUCUAAAAUCCCCCUUGAGUCUUUUCAUUUCAGUUCUUACCUCUUGAUGCAGCUUGACCUCAGAUGGCCCAUAAUCAUGGGAUAUCGUAUUGAUGAAAUAAGAAGGAAGAAUGAUAUGAGGAAGCCAAAAGUUCCUUCUUCCCCUCAGCUUGGGGGAUGGAAACCCUGAACAAAGAAGAAUGAAGAACAAAGACGAGAUUAUAGUAAGAGUACCCAAAUGUUUAGGAGCAUUUUUUCUGGGAUUCUUUUUUAAGAACGCCCCCACCCUCCUCUGUGUUUGAUAUCACUCCGGGUCCUGGGUUUCCGGCUUGGUUUAAAUGGACUGUCUGCCUGGGAAUCUUAGACACCCCAGCCCUCCCCGUGCAUUCCUCAAACACCUCCCCCCAUCUGCCUCAUUGUUUUUAUCCAUUUCUGCUUGAUUUAUUUUUGCCACCUGGCUCCUGUCUCUGGCGUCACUUGUCACUUGUCUUUAUCUUCUCAUGCCUGAGCACAUUUUACUAGUAUGAUGUAGUGGAAAGACCAUGAGCUUUGGGAUUUAAAAUCUCAGCAACCAAUUAUUGGCUGUGUGACUUGGGAUAUGUCAACUUUUUGGGUCUCAGUUUCAUUUUCGUUAAUUACAAAAAGAGAACAUUAAUACAUUCCUAUUAGGGUAGAAGUGAAGAAUUAAUGAGUUAACUGUAUAAAAAGUGCUUAUCCUGGUGGCUGGCACCUAGUACUCACUCAACGCCUAUGUGCCUCCUUUCUCCUCACUUCUGCUCCCAAGGACAUCUCUGCUUUAUCCUGCAC